rnacentral:rRNA from 1 species
UUCCCACGGGGAUCAAUUGCCAACACUUACCACUUAGUUUUGUUUGCAACUCCUCUUUCCCAAUGAGAAAACAGAGCACCUACCAUUUUACCAUUACCAGCUUUUAUCAUGCUUUUUAUUUUAACACGUUAACCACAUUUAUAAUUCUAGAGCUAAUACGUGCAACAAACCCCGACUUCUGGGAGGGGCGCAUUUAUUAGAUAAAAGGCUGACACGGGCUCUGCUCGCUGAUCCGAUGAUUCAUGAUAACUCGACGGAUCGCACGGCCUUCGUGCCGGCGAUGCGUCAUUCAAAUUUCUGCCCUAUCAACUUUCGAUGGUAGGAUAGGGGCCUACCAUGGUGGUGACGGGUGACGGAGAAUUAGGGUUCGAUUUCGGAGAGGGAGCCUGAGAAACGGCUACCACAUCCAAGAAAGGCAGCAGGCACGCAAAUUACCCAAUCCUGACACGGGAAGGUAGUGACAAUAAAUAAUAAUACCGGACGCAUUAGUGUCUGGUAAUUGGAAUGAGUACAAUCUAAAUCCCUUAACGAGGAUCCAUUGGAUGGCAAGUCUGGUGCCAGCAGCCGUGGUAAUUCCAGCUCCAAUAGCGUAUAUUUAAGUUGUUGAAGUUAAAAAGCUCGUAGUUGGACCAUGGGCCAGGUCGGCCGGUCCGCCUCACGGCAAGCACCGACCUACUCGACCCUUCGGCCGGCAUCACGCUCCUAGCCUUAAUUGGUCGGGUCAUGUUUCCGGCAUCAUUACUUUGAAGAAAUUAGAGUGAUCAAAGCAAGCCAUCGCUCUGGAUACAUCAGCAUGGGAUAACAUCAUAGGAUUCCAGUCCUAUUGUGUUGGCCUUCGAGAUAGGAGUAAUGAUUAAUAGGGACAGUCGGGGCAUUCGUAUUUCAUAGUCAGAGGUGAAAUUCUUGGAUUUAUGAAAGGCGAACAACUGCGAAAGCAUUUGCCAAGGAUGUUUUCGUUAAUCAAGAACAACAGUUGUGGGCUCGAAGACGAUCAGAUACCGUCCUAGUCUCAAGCAUAAACGAUGGCGACCAGGGAUCGGCGGAUGUAGCUUAUAGGACUCCGCCGACACCUUAUGAGAAAUCAAAGUUUUUGGGCUCCGGGGGGAGUAUGGUCGCAAGGCUGAAACUUAAAGGAAUUGACGGAAGGGCACCACCAGGCGUGGAGCCUGUGACUUAAUUUGACUCAAUACGGGGAAACGUACCAGGUCCAGACAUAACAAGGAUUGACAGACUGAGAGCUCUUUCUUGAUUCUAUGGGUGGUGGUGCAUGGCCGUUCUUAGUUGGUGGAGCGAUUUGUCUGGUUAAUUCCGUUAACGAACGAGACCUCAGCUGCCAAUAGAGUCGUGUGUUGAAAUUGGCGCGGUGCGGUGCGAUGUAGUGAAUGGACACCCCUAGUCAUUACCAUCGUUCCACCGUUGCCAAUAGAGUCGUUGAUAUAUCUGUAACAGUGGUACUUUGCCACCAUUGCCAUUGUUCCACCGUUGCCACAUUUUCACCAUUGCCACAUUUCACCAUUGCCACAUGUCCACCACUUACCGCGGUUGACACUAUGAUCACCAUUGCCACU